rnacentral:rRNA from 1 species
UACGGAGGAUUCAAGCGUUAUCCGGAUUUAUUGGGUUUAAAGGGUGCGUAGGCGGUCGGAUAAGUUAGAGGUGAAAUCCCGGGGCUCAACUUCGGAAUUGCCUCUGAUACUGUUCGGCUGGAGAGUAGUUGCGGUAGGCGGAAUGUAUGGUGUAGCGGUGAAAUGCUUAGAGAUCAUACAGAACACCGAUUGCGAAGGCAGCUUACCAAGCUACUUCUGACGUUGAGGCACGAAAGCGUGGGGAGCAAACAGG